UUAGGGAAUUUUGGCAAUGGGCGCAAGCCUGACCGAGUGACGCCGCGUGCGGGACGGAGCCCUUCGGGGUGUAAACCGCUUUUCCCGGGGGCGAGCGAGGACGGUACCCGGGGAAUAAGCCUCGGCUAACUACGUGCCAGCAGCCGCGGUAAUACGUAGGAGGCGAGCGUUGUCCGGAAUUACUGGGCGUAAAGCGCGCGUAGGCGGGGCGCUGCGUCGGCGGUGAAAGCCCACGGCUCACCCGUGGGAGUGCCGCCGAAACGAGCGUUCUUGGAGGGCGGUAGGGGCCGGUGGAACGCCCGGAGUAGCGGUGAAAUGCGUUGAGAUCGGGCAGAACACCAGUGGCGAAGGCGGCCGGCUGGGCCGACCCUGACGCUGAGGCGCGAAAGCCAGGGGAGCGAACGGAAUUAGAUACCCCCGUAGUCC
rnacentral:rRNA from 1 species